rnacentral:rRNA from 1 species
AUUGAACGCUGGCGGCAGGCUUAACACAUGCAAGUCGAACGAGUGGCGGACGGGUGAGUAAUGCCUGGGAACCUAGCUUAUGGAGGGGGAUAACUACGGGAAACGGUAGCUAAUAUCGCAUACCAUAGGAUGAGCCCAGGUGGGAUUAGGUAGUUGGUGAGGUAAAGGCUCACCAAGCCGACGAUCCCUAGCUGGUCUGAGAGGAUGACCAGCCACACUGGAACUGAGACACGGCCCAGACUCCUACGAGAGGCAGCAGUGGGGAAUAUUGCGCAAUGGGAGCAACCCUGACGCAGCCAUGCCGCGUGUAUGAAGAAGGCCUUCGGGUUGUAAAGUACUUUCGGUGGCGAGGCGUUAACUGCAGAAGAAGCACCGGCUAACUCCGUGCCAGCAGCCGCGGUAAUUC